AGACUUGCACAAGCCUUGAAACUGUGGGCAACUUUACAGUUCUCAGAUCGGCUUCUCUCAACAGGCAGUGAGUUCUCACUGGGCCCCUUGGACUUCCAUUUCAAAAAUGGAGAAGACAGAUCACAGCCACUGACCAGGGACUGUGGGAGGUGCCACGUGAUGGUGGGGCAGCAUGCUGGGGAGCUGAGCGCUGGCCUUCCUGCCGGGUGAUUCUCCACCUCAGGGCUGCUAGAUCUGCUUCCUGGAUGCCGUAAAGAUCCUCAUGUAUGAAAAUGAAGUCCCAGGCAACCAUGAUUUGCUGCUUAAUGUUGUUUCUGUCCACAGAAUGUUCCCACUAUAGAUCCAAGAUUCACCUAAAAGCUGGAGAUAAACUUCAAAGCCCUGAAGGGAAACCCAAGACUGGAAGGAUCCAAGAGAAAUGCUAUGGACCUUGCAUCUCUUCUUCCAACUGCAGCCAGCCCUGUGCUAAGGACUUUCGUGGAGAAAUAGGAUUUACAUGUAAUCAAAAAAAGUGGCAAAAAUCAACCGAAACAUGUACAAGUCUUUCUGUGGAAAAACUCUUUAAGGACUCAACUGGUGCAUCUCGCCUUUCUGUAGCAGCAGCAUCUAUACCUCUGCACAUUCUAGACUUUCGAGCUCCUGAGACCAUUGAGAGUGUGGCUCAAGGAAUCCGUAAGAACUGCCCCCUUGAUUAUGCCUGCAUCAUUGAUGUUGUGAAAUCAUCAGAAAUGACAUCUGGAAACAUUGCAUUUAUAGUGGAGUUAUUACAAAAUAUUUCUACAGACUUGUCUGAUGAUGUUACUCGAGAGAAAAUGAAGAGCUAUAGUGAAGUGGCCAACCACAUCCUGGACACGGCAGCCAUUUCAAAUUGGGCUUUCAUUCCCAACAAAAAUGCCAGCUCGGAUUUUUUGCAGUCAGUGAAUUUGUUUGCCAGGCACCUCCACAUCCACAAUAAAUCUGAGAACAUUGUGAAUGAACUCUUCAUUCAGACAAAAGGGUUUCACAUCAACCAUAAUACCUCAGAGAAGAGCCUCAGUUUCUCCAUGAGCACAAACAAUACCACAGAAGAUAUCUUAGGAAUGGUACAGAUUCCCAGGCAAGAGCUAAAGAAGCUGUGGCCAAAUGCAUCCCGAGCCAUUAGCAUAGCUUUCCCAACCUUGGGAGCUAUCCUGAGAGAAGCCCACUUGCAAAAUGUGAGUCUUCCCAGACCGGUAAAUGGUCUGGUCCUAUCAGUGAUUUUACCAGAAAGGUUGCAAGAAAUCUUACUCACCUUUGAAAAGAUCAAUAAAAGCCGCAAUGCCAGAGCCCAGUGUGUUGGCUGGCACUCCAAGAAAAGGAGAUGGGAUGAGAAAGCAUGCCAAAUGAUAUUGGAUAUCAAGAAUGAAGUGAAAUGCCGCUGUAACUACACCAGUACAGUGAUGUCUUUUUCCAUUCUAAUGUCCCCCAAAUCAAUGACUGACAAAGUUCUGGACUAUAUCACCUGCAUUGGGCUCAGCAUCUCAAUCCUAAGCUUGGUUCUUUGCCUGAUCAUUGAAGCCACGGUGUGGUCCCGGGUGGUUGUGACGGAGAUAUCAUACAUGCGUCACGUGUGCAUUGUGAAUAUAGCAGUGUCCCUUCUGACUGCCAAUGUGUGGUUUAUCAUAGGCUCUAACUUUAACAUUAAGGCCCAGGACUACAACGUGUGUGUUGCAGUGACAUUUUUCAGCCACUUUUUCUACCUCUCUCUGUUUUUCUGGAUGCUCUUCAAAGCACUGCUUAUCAUUUAUGGAAUAUUGGUCAUUUUCCGUAGGAUGAUGAAGUCCCGAAUGAUGGUCAUUGGCUUUGCCAUUGGCUAUGGGUGCCCAUUGAUCAUUGCUGUCACCACAGUUGCUAUCACAGAGCCAGGGAAUGGCUACAUGAGACUCGAGGCCUGUUGGCUUAACUGGGACAAUACCAAAGCCCUUUUAGCAUUUGCCAUCCCGGCGUUGGUCAUUGUGGCUGUGAAUCUCAUUGUGGUUUUGGUUGUUGCCGUCAACACUCAGAGGCCCUCUAUUGGCAGUUCCAAGUCUCAGGAUGUGGCCAUAAUUAUGAGGAUCAGCAAAAACGUUGCCAUCCUCACCCCACUGCUGGGACUAACCUGGGGUUUUGGAAUAGCCACUCUAAUAGAAGGCACUUCCUUGACAUUCCAUAUAAUUUUUGCCUUGCUCAAUGCUUUCCAGGGUUUUUUCAUCCUGCUGUUUGGAACCAUUAUGGAUCACAAGAUAAGAGAUGCUUUGAGGAUGAGGAUGUCUUCAUUGAAGGGGAAAUCAAGGGCAGCUGAGAAUGCAUCAUUAAGCCCAACCAAUGGAUCUAAAUUAAUGAAUCGUCAAGGAUGAAAUGUGAAACCAGGGGAGAGCACACAUUAGGCAGCCAGGAAGCAGGAGAAUAAGUCGCAAAAAUGGCAGCCAGAAGCCUGAGAGGCUGCCCCGUUUUUGAUGGACAUCCUGAGACCAAGUGGGGAGAUUGGGAGAAAGAGGACAUGGAAAGCAGGCUGGAGUGAGGAGGAAUGGUCAUGCUUCCUUGGAAUACUUUCUCUUCUUGUCAGGAGUGACUCCAAAGCUCUUGGUCUGCUGAAGAAAAACUGAGGAUAUCAUUUGCUGACUGAGCUUUAAGGAGGGUGAUUUAUGGACCAUUUGACCUACCCGCGCCCUGCAAGAGGCUGGCUUCUUGGUCAAUCUUGGCUAGAUUAAGAGUCAACCUGCAAGCCAUUUUAUGGUCUCUUUGGCCAGCUGGGGGCUGUGGGGCCCUGCUGGGCUUGGUUGUCUUUCACUCUUGAGGCCUGCUGUGUGGCUCCAUAGCUCAGUCCUCCAUCACUCUGCGUGGAUCUUGGGUACUGUAGACAGUGAGGGUUAGAUCCAAUUUUAGGAGUAGGGUUGGGGGUGUGAGUGGGAGCGUGGGGUGGCAGGAGGAACAAUGAAUCUGCUUUGGAGACAGUUAAGUCAUGGUACGUUUCCUAAAGAUAGGGAACAGAAGAAAAGUAAGAAAACUGUUUAAUAUGCUGAUUUUUUAAGUCUAUUUUAGACCUUGAGUAAACUAAUUUAGCUUCUAGGAUCUGAGUUUCCUUAUUUGUGAAACAGGAAAAAAAAGUUCUUGUAGGUAUUACUAUUUGUGUGUUUGAGUCUACCUGCAUGUAUUUGUGUUUGUGUGUGUGUGUGUCUUUUAAAAAUACUAUAUAUAAAGAAGAUUCUGUUUGUUAUUUUAGACAUAAAAAUGAAUAUAUGUACCUUUCACAACUUG